AACGAACGCUGGCGGCAGGCCUAACACAUGCCAGUCGAGCGCCCCGCAAGGGGAGCGGCGGCCGGGUGAGUAACGCGUGGGAACGUACCCUUUGCUACGGAAUAGCCUCGGGAAACUGGGAGUAAUACCGUAUGUGUCCUUCGGGAGAAAGAUUUAUCGGCAAGGGAUCGGCCCGCGUUGGAUUAGGUAGUUGGUGGGGUAAUGGCCUACCAAGCCGACGAUCCAUAGCUGGUUUGAGAGGAUGAUCAGCCACACUGGGACUGAGACACGGCCCAGACUCCUACGGGAGGCAGCAGUGGGGAAUCUUAGACAAUGGGCGCAAGCCUGAUCUAGCCAUGCCGCGUGAGCGAUGAAGGCCUUAGGGUUGUAAAGCUCUUUCAGGGGGGAAGAUAAUGACUGUACCCCCAGAAGAAGCCCCGGCUAACUCCGUG
rnacentral:rRNA from 1 species